rnacentral:rRNA from 1 species
UACAGAGGUCCCAAGCGUUGUUCGGAUUCAUUGGGCGUAAAGGGUGCGUAGGUGGCGCUGUAAGUCGGGUGUGAAAUCUCGGGGCUUAACUCCGAAACUGCAUUCGAUACUGCCGUGCUUGAGGACUGGAGAGGAGACUGGAAUUUACGGUGUAGCGGUGAAAUGCAUAGAUAUCGUAAGGAAGACCAGUGGCGAAGGCGGGUCUCUGGACA